AGGAUGAACGCUGGCGGCGUGCCUAACACAUGCAAGUCGAACGUCCUGUCUCGCAAGAGGCAGGGAGUGGCGGACGGGUGAGUACCACGUGGGUUAUCUACCGUGAGGUGAGGAAUACCGGCGAGAAAUCGCCGACAAGACCGCAUAGCCUCGGUGCAAGCCGAGGAAAGCUUUCUCGAGAGAGGGAGCGCCACACGAGGAGCCUGCGCCCGAUUAGCUAGCUGGUGGAGUAACGGUUCACCAGGGCGACGAUCGGUAGCUGGUCUGAGAGGACGAUCAGCCACACUGGGAUUGAGAACGGCCCAGACUCCUACGGGGGGCAGCAGUGAGGAAUUUUCGUCAAUGGGGGCAACCCUGAACGAGCAACGCCGCGUGCAGGAAGAAGGUUUCGGAUCGUAAACUGCUUUUCUCGGGAAGAGAACGGACGGUACCCGAGGAAUCGAGCCCCGGCUAACUACGUGCCAGCAGCCGC
rnacentral:rRNA from 1 species